rnacentral:rRNA from 1 species
AUGCCAUCAAGCAGUAGCAGCAACUCGAUGCAGGGACGAGGGAGAGGAGGAGUCCUGCUUCCCCCGCGUGCAUCCUCUCUCUCGGAACGACACCCAACCUCAAGCGAGAGGAAGGUCUUUGAGAACCUAAAGGUUCUUUUUUUGAUUGAUAGAUGCAUGUGUGGGUGGCAGCAGAUCAACCUCCUUCUCAACCCAUGUCAGGCAUCCUCCGUGGAUGAUGACGACAACCAGGGCAUCCACCGCCACGACGACACCCCGCACAUGGUCCAACUCGGCUACAACCUCCUCUACCGCGCGACUGCGGCCGCGGUCGUGUUCGGCAUCGACUACAACCUCCUCUUCGGACCUUUGGUUCAUUAUACUGACUGCAUGCCACCUCUGUCAUCGCCGCCCCGUCUCCCGCACCAUCGGCACCACCCCUCCGCCUUCUCUUUUGAUGCUGUAGUGGAUUCUUAG